rnacentral:rRNA from 1 species
GAUGAACGCUGGCGGCGUGCCUAAUACAUGCAAGUCGAGCGAACAGACGAGGAGCUUGCUCCUCUGACGUUAGCGGCGGACGGGUGAGUAACACGUGGAUAACCUACCUAUAAGACUGGGAUAACUUCGGGAAACCGGAGCUAAUACCGGAUAAUAUAUUGAACCGCAUGGUUCAAUAGUGAAAGACGGUUUUGCUGUCACUUAUAGAUGGAUCCGCGCCGCAUUAGCUAGUUGGUAAGGUAACGGCUUACCAAGGCAACGAUGCGUAGCCGACCUGAGAGGGUGAUCGGCCACACUGGAACUGAGACACGGUCCAGACUCCUACGGGAGGCAGCAGUAGGGAAUCUUCCGCAAUGGGCGAAAGCCUGACGGAGCAACGCCGCGUGAGUGAUGAAGGUCUUCGGAUCGAAAAACUCUGUUAUUAGGGAAGAACAAAUGUGUAAGUAACUAUGCACGUCUUGACGGUACCUAAUCAGAAAGCCACGGCUAACUACGUG